rnacentral:rRNA from 1 species
UCCUACUCUGGUUGAUCCUGCCAGUAGUCAUAUGCUUGUCUCAAAGAUUAAGCCAUGCAAGUCUAAGUUUAACGAAGUUAACGAGAAGACUGUAGAUAGCUCAUUAAAACAGUUAUAGUUUACUUGAUGGUAAAAUACUACAUGGAUAACCGUGGUAAUUCUAGAGCUAAUACACGACAAAAAGCUUUUAUUUUAAAAAUAAAAGUUGUGUUUAUUAGAUAAAAAACCAAUCUGUCGGUAAAACGGCAGUAAUGGAUGAAUCAUAGUAACCAAACUGAUCGUAUGACGGAAGUCGACGAUGCAUCAAUCAAGUUUCUGACCUAUCAG